rnacentral:rRNA from 1 species
GACAGAGGUGCCAAGCGUUAGGCGGAAUCACUGGGCUUAAAGCGUGUGUAGGCGGAUCGUUAAGUCCUGUGUGAAAUCCCCCGGCUCAACUGGGGAACUGCACAGGAAACUAGCGGGCUUGAGUUCGGGAGAGGGAAGCGGAAUUCCGGGUGUAGCGGUGAAAUGCGUAGAUAUCAGGAAGAACACCAAUGGCGAAAGCAGCUUUCUGGGACGGUACUGACGCUGAGACGCGAAAGCGUGGGGAGCGAACAGG